GUCGAGCGACAGACGAGGAGCUUGCUCCUCUGACGUUAGCGGCGGACGGGUGAGUAACACGUGGAUAACCUACCUAUAAGACUGGGAUAACUUCGGGAAACCGGAGCUAAUACCGGAUAAUAUAUUGAACCGCAUGGUUCAAUAGUGAAAGACGGUUUUGCUGUCACUUAUAGAUGGAUCCGCGCCGCAUUAGCUAGUUGGUAAGGUAACGGCUUACCAAGGCAACGAUGCGUAGCCGACCUGAGAGGGUGAUCGGCCACACUGGAACUGAGACACGGUCCAGACUCCUACGGGAGGCAGCAGUAGGGAAUCUUCCGCAAUGGGCGAAAGCCUGACGGAGCAACGCCGCGUGAGUGAUGAAGGUCUUCGGAUCGUAAAACUCUGUUAUUAGGGAAGAACAAAUGUGUAAGUAACUAUGCACGUCUUGACGGUACCUAAUCAGAAAGCCACGGCUAACUACGUGCCAGCAGCCGCGGUAAUACGUAGGUGGCAAGCGUUAUCCGGAAUUAUUGGGCGUAAAGCGCGCGUAGGCGGUUUUUUAAGUCUGAUGUGAAAGCCCACGGCUCAACCGUGGAGGGUCAUUGGAAACUGGAAAACU
rnacentral:rRNA from 1 species